rnacentral:rRNA from 1 species
GUGGGGAAUCUUCCGCAAUGGACGAAAGUCUGACGGAGCAACGCCGCGUGAACGAUGACGGCCUUCGGGUUGUAAAGUUCUGUUAUACGGGACGAAUGGUACGACGGCCAAUACCCGUCGUAAGUGACGGUACCGUAAGAGAAAGCCACGGCUAACUACGUGCCAGCAGCCGCGGUAAUACGUAGGUGGCAAGCGUUGUCCGGAAUUAUUGGGCGUAAAGGGCGCGCAGGCGGCGUCGUAAGUCGGUCUUAAAAGUGCGGGGCUUAACCCCGUGAGGGGACCGAAACUGCGAUGCUAGAGUAUCGGAGAGGAAAGCGGAAUUCCUAGUGUAGCGGUGAAAUGCGUAGAUAUUAGGAGGAACACCAGUGGCGAAAGCGGCUUUCUGGACGACAACUGACGCUGAGGCGCGAAAGCCAGGGGAGCAAACGGGAUUAGAUACCCGUGUAGUCC